rnacentral:rRNA from 1 species
UAAGCAUAUCAAUAAGCGGAGGAAAAGAAACCAACAGGGAUUGCCCUAGUAACGGCGAGUGAAGCGGCAACAGCUCAAAUUUGAAAUCUGGCUCUCGGGCCCGAGUUGUAAUUUGUAGAGGAUGCUUUUGGUGCGGUGCCUUCCGAGUUCCCUGGAACGGGACGCCAUAGAGGGUGAGAGCCCCGUCUGGUUGGAUGCCAAUCCUCUGUAAAGCUCCUUCGACGAGUCGAGUAGUUUGGGAAUGCUGCUCUAAAUGGGAGGUAUAUGUCUUCUAAAGCUAAAUACCGGCCAGAGACCGAUAGCGCACAAGUAGAGUGAUCGAAAGAUGAAAAGAACUUUGAAAAGAGAGUUAAAAAGUACGUGAAAUUGUUGAAAGGGAAGCGCUUGUGACCAGACUUGGGCUUGGUUGAUCAUCCAGGGUUCUCCCUGGUGCACUCUUCCGGCUCAGGCCAGCAUCAGUUUGCCUCGGGGGAUAAAGGCUUCGGGAAUGUGGCUCUCUCCGGGGAGUGUUAUAGCCCGCUGCGUAAUACCCUGUGGCGGACUGAGGUUCGCGCAUUCGCAAGGAUGCUGGCGUAAUGGUCAUCAGUGACCCGUCUUGAAACACGGACCAAGGAGUCGUCUUCGUAUGCGAGUGUUCGGGUGUCAAACCCCUACGCGAAAUGAAAGUGAACGCAGGUGAGAGCUUCGGCGCAUCAUCGACCGAUCCUGAUGUUCUCCGGAUGGAUUUGAGUAAGAGCAUACGGAGCCGGACCCGAAAGAAGGUGAACUAUGCCUGUGUAGGGUGAAGCCAGAGGAAACUCUGGUGGAGGCUCGCAGCGGUUCUGACGUGCAAAUCGAUCGUCAAACAUGGGCAUGGGGGCGAAUGACUAAU